CCUAUGUGAUCCUAUAGGACACUACUGCUCCUCACAGGGAGGACUAGGACUUAUAGGUGGUCUAUAGGACACUACUGCUCCUCACAUGGAGGACUAGGACCUAUAGGUGGUCCUAUAGGACACUACUGCUCCUCACAGGGAGGACUAGGACCUAUAGGUGGUCUAUAGGACACUACUGCUCCUCA